rnacentral:rRNA from 1 species
UGGGGAAUUUUGGACAAUGGGGGCAACCCUGAUCCAGCAACGCCGCGUGAAUGAAGAAGGCCCUAGGGUUGUAAAGUUCUUUUGUCGCAGAGCAAAGCUAUCUGGCUAAUACCUAGAUAGGAUGAGAGUAUGCGAAGAAUAAGCACCGGCUAACUACGUGCCAGCAGCCGCGGUAAUACGUAGGGUGCAAGCGUUAAUCGGAAUAACUGGGCGUAAAGCGUGCGCAGGCGGAUAUUUAAGUUAGAAGUGAAAUCCCCGGGCUCAACCUGGGAACGGCUUUUAAGACUGGAUAUCUAGAGUUUGUCAGAGGGGGGUGGAAUUCCAAGUGUAGCAGUGAAAUGCGUAGAGAUUUGGAGGAACACCGAUGGCGAAGGCAGCCCCCUGGGAUAAAACUGACGCU